UAAAAAUCCAUAGAAUUAAGAUAAGUGAC
rnacentral:piRNA from 1 species